rnacentral:tRNA from 2 species
GGGGUGUAGCUCAGUUGGGAGAGCACCUGCCUUGCACGCAGGGGGUCAAGAGUUCGAAUCUCUUCAUCUCC